UGUGUAUGUGCUGAUUAGGCAGUGUAUUGUUAGUUAGCUGUUGUUCACAUACCAGCAACUAAAUACAUUUCCACAUUAGCACAUGACCUUGCA
rnacentral:pre_miRNA from 1 species